rnacentral:rRNA from 1 species
AGAGUUUGAUCCUGGCUCAGGAUUAACGCUAGCGGCAGGCCUAAUACAUGCAAGUCGAACGGGAUCAGUUGUAGCAAUAUGACUGUGAGAGUGGCGCACGGGUGAGUAACACGUAUGCAACCUACCUCUAACUGGGGAAUAGCCUUCCGAAAGGAAGAUUAAUACCGCAUAAUAUUGCGAAGGGGCAUCCCUUUGUAAUCAAACUUUUAAGGGUUAGAGAUGGGCAUGCGUCCGAUUAGUUUGUUGGUGAGGUAACGGCUCACCAAGACUACAAUCGGUAGGGGGUCUGAGAGGAUGAUCCCCCACACUGGUACUGAGACACGGACCAGACUCCUACGGGAGGCAGCAGUAAGGAAUAUUGGACAAUGGGCGCAAGCCUGAUCCAGCCAUGCCGCGUGCAGGAUGACGGCCCUAUGGGUUGUAAACUGCUUUUAUACAGGAAGAAACCCCCCGACGUGUUGGGGGCUGACGGUACUGUAAGAAUAAGGUCGCUAAC